rnacentral:rRNA from 1 species
UACAGAGGGGGCGAGCGUUGUUCGGAAUUACUGGGCGUAAAGGGCGCGUAGGCGGCCUUCUAAGUCGAACGUGAAAUCCCCGGGCUCAACCCGGGAACUGCGUCCGAUACUGGGAGGCUUGAAUCCGGGAGAGGGAUGUGGAAUUCCAGGUGUAGCGGUGAAAUGCGUAGAUAUCUGGAGGAACACCGGUGGCGAAGGCGGCAUCCUGGACCGGUAUUGACGCUGAGGCGCGAAAGCCAGGGGAGCGAACCGG